rnacentral:rRNA from 1 species
UACAGAGGUCUCAAGCGUUGUUCGGAUUCAUUGGGCGUAAAGGGUGCGUAGGCGGUCCGGUAAGUCGGUUGUGAAAACUGGGGGCUCAACCCUCAGAGGCCGACCGAUACUGCCGGGCUAGAGUCCGGAAGAGGCGAGUGGAAUUCCUGGUGUAGCGGUGAAAUGCGCAGAUAUCAGGAGGAACACCAAUGGCGAAGGCAGCUCGCUGGGACGGUACUGACGCUGAGGCGCGAAAGCGUGGGGAGCAAACAGG